UCGCCUGUUUAACAAAAACAUAGCUCUAUGAAGAAAAAAAAAUUUAUGUAGAGUGUAACCUGCCCAAUGAUUUAUUUUAAUGGCCGCAGUACUUUGACUGUGCUAAGGUAGCAUAAUAAGUUGACUUGUAAUUAAGGUCUAGAAUGAAAGGAUAAAUGAAUAUUUGCUGUCUUUAAAAAAUUAACAUUAACUUUCUUAUUAGGUGAAAAUUCCUCUUAGAAAAUCUAAAGGACGAGAAGACCCUAGGAGUUUAAAUAAUUGUUUUGUUGGGGCAACAUUAUAGUAAGGAACCUAUAAUUAAUAUUUAUAUAUAAAACAGAUUAUAUUAAUUAAAAGUAAACUACCCUAGGGAUAACAGCAUAAUUUUCUGUAAAGUGAGUUUGUGACCUCGAUGUUGGACUAGGGACUUUAAUUAUUAAAUAUAUUUAUUGACAUGUUCUGUUCGAACAUUUUAUACCUACGUGAUCUGAGUUCAGACCGGA
rnacentral:rRNA from 1 species